CAGACCCACUGAUAAAGGAAGACAGCCUCCCAGGACAUUGGGCUCUUCUCCAAGGCCAUUCAGCUCAGAUUUGGUGUGAAGUCUGAAUUCAAGUUUAGCAGAAGCCACUCCAUCUAGGACCCUCAAGGAAGGCAGUGAGGCCCUACCAGUACAUUCUUGUAGGCCUGUUAUGAGGCUCCAGCGAGAAAAGCUAUGCAAAGGCAAACUAGAACACAGCAAGUACUCCACGAGCCCUGGCUGUUACUACUUUUAAAGGCAGGACUCUGGGAAUUAUCCUCCCUUAGUGAAAGAGGUCUGAGGCAAACAGGACACCUCAAGGUUCUUAAAGUCAUC